AUUGAACGCUGGCGGCAUGCCUUACACAUGCAAGUCGAACGGUAACGCGGGGCAACCUGGCGACGAGUGGCGAACGGGUGAGUAAUGUAUCGGAACGUGCCCAGUUGCGGGGGAUAACUGCUAGAAAGAGCAGCUAAUACCGCAUACGACCUGAGGGUGAAAGCGGGGGAUCGCAAGACCUCGCGCAAUUGGAGCGGCCGAUAUCAGAUGAGGUAGUUGGUGGGGUAAAGGCUCACCAAGCCAACGAUCUGUAGCUGGUCUGAGAGGACGACCAGCCACACUGGGACUGAGACACGGCCCAGACUCCUACGGGAGGCAGCAGUGGGGAAUUUUGGACAAUGGGCGCAAGCCUGAUCCAGCCAUGCCGCGUGCGGGAAGAAGGCCUUCGGGUUGUAAACCGCUUUUGUCAGGGAAGAAAAGACUCCUGUUAAUACCGGGGGUUCAUGACGGUACCUGAAGAAUAAGCACCGGCUAACUACGUGCCAGCCGCCGCAGUAACAC
rnacentral:rRNA from 1 species